rnacentral:rRNA from 1 species
GGAAUCUUCCACAAUGGGCGCAAGCCUGAUGGAGCAACGCCGCGUGUGUGAUGAAGGGUUUCGGCUCGUAAAACACUGUUGUAAGAGAAGAAUGACAUUGAGAGUAACUGUUCAAUGUGUGACGGUAUCUUACCAGAAAGGAACGGCUAACUACGUGCCAG